AUGCUGGGGUCUGUCACCCUCCUUCUCGCCACCCUGCUCCCUGCUGGACAGACGGCGCUCACCCUUCACCAGCCAGUGGUCUCCAUCACCAGACAGACCAGGAAGAUCGCCAAGAUCCCCUGCGAGUUUUCUGACAGUAGCAUCAAGUACAUCCAUUGGUAUCGCCAGGAGCCUGGGAAAGCUCCCCAGCGCCUGCUCUACUAUAACCUCGCCUCGUCUCAAUCCACACAUGAUGCAGGAUUCAGUUCGGACAAAUUCUAUGCUUACAAGAGCAAAGAUCAAAGCUGUACCCUGGAGGUCCAGAAACUGGGCACGAGUGAUGCUGGCAUCUAUUACUGUGCCAGCUGGGACUCCACAGUGACACAGGUCCCUUUGCUCUCUGUACAAAAAAAGUCAGUCUGCAGUUACCGGGAGCAAGGUCUGCCCCCAACAGUUCCAGCCAUGACUCUCAUCCCCUACUUCAGUCUUCUUGGAAAAUUUUGA